rnacentral:misc_RNA from 1 species
AAGGAGUCUAACAUAUAUGCGAGUAUUUGGGUGGCAAACCCUUAUGCGAAAUGAAAGUGAGUACGAGUGGGAUUUCGCAAGGGUGCACCAUUGACCGAUCUUGAUAUCUCUUGAUAGAUUCGCGUUAGAGCAUACCUGUUGGGACCCGAAAGAUGGUGAACUAUGCCUGAGUAGGAUGAAGCCAGGGGAAACUCUGGUGGAGGUCCGAAGCCGUUCUGACGUGCAAAUCGAUGGUCAAACCUGGGUACAGGGGCGAAAGACUAAUCGAACCAUCUAGUAGCUGGUUCCCUC